GUGUGAUGAACCUGUGUGAUGUUCGUACAAGAGUAGAUCUGAAUGAUAUUCACUGGGCACCAACCAUCGUUAUUAAUAAAUCUUGCACAUGAAGUGGCAUUUAAAGUGUGAUGACCUUAAUAAAACCACACGUGCAAGAAGGUCUGACUCCUGCUCAUCUCAGAAAAGCCAAGCUGAUGUUCUUCUACACGCGGUACCCCAGCUCCACUGUGCUGAAAACCUUCUUUGCCGAUGUGAAGGUAAAAAGCCACAGUGACACAUUUUAAUCAUGAAAUAUGACGCGGAGAGCUUGUUCAAGUAUUUUAUUAAAAGCAGAAACGGACCACUUCACUUACCAGACUGACAAACUUCUCACUGGUCCACAGUUCACACGCUGCAUCACAUCCCAGCUGGUCAAGUGGUUCAGCAACUUCCGCGAGUUCUUCUACAUACAGACAGAGAAACGCGCUCGUCAGGCCGUUACAGGGAGGGCGUGGUCACGCACAGGAAAUGGCGGUCGACCACGACUCCGAGCUCUACAGAGCCCUCAACACGCAUUUCAACAAGGCCGGAGACUUCCAGGUGCCGGACAGAUUUCUGGAGGUGACGGGAAUUACGCUGGGGGAAUUCUACACGGCCAUCUCACAGUCGAGAGACUCGGACCCUUCUUGGAAGAAAUCGAUAUACAAGGUCAUCUGUAAAUUGGACAGUGACGUCCCCGCUGAAUUCAGGUCUUCACUGAGCCCAGCAGAUGGAAGGCACUGAACUCGACAUGAAUUCUGAUGUUUAACAGGAUCAAAAUCACAAGACAAACCAGAUUCAGUUUUUUUUUUUUUUUUUAAAUGUUGCUUCUUAAUGAUCUUUAGGUUAAAAUGAUUUCUGUGUUUUAUUGGUUUAAUCUCUUCAGCAGACAGAUAAGAUUAUAACUGAGCAGCCGCCGUUCCAGUACACAAUCCAGGUUCUUACCUUCUGAACAUCUGGUCUCCAGGUGCAGAAGAGAGGUCUAAAGUUAUCAAAUACAUAGAAUCGAGAGGUGAGCAUUUCUACAAGCAUUCAAGCCCAGACUCAAAUGACAGAACAGCUAGAAAACAGCCACUCCUGAAAUGUAGAGCCAGGUAGGCACGUUGCUCCGGACGGAAUAAAGAUACCGUAUAUAACAUACAGGACUGAUGAUGUUCCAGGGAUCUACGUGAGAGAGCAGAGUGUCUGAACUACAUACACAUGCACAUUUUACAGCUUCCUCAUCACACACUUCUUCUGUUUUAACAAUUAUUUCAAUUGCAGUUAUUUUAGAGCAAGUUGAUUGAUUUUGGUAAGAAGGAACAUUACAGAACAGAUUUUUUUAAACCGGGAAAGGAUCAGUCUUCCAUGCCACAGUUAAAAAGGUUUUAGAAGGCCACAGGCUCUUUGGAAAUUCUCUGAAUAAAAAGACAGGUUUGAAGAGUGCAGCUUGUGUUAAAACACAAGCUCUCUUGAGGAGCAUUUUUGUAGGAUUUUUAUUGGUUGAGGGUUAAAAUGUGCAGCAACAGGUCUGUAGGAUACAAUCAAGUCAACAUAUAAAAAAAAAAACAGCAACAGGUGAACAACAAGUCAUCUACUGGCUCAUCUGACAAUGCAUGAAGAACAAAAAAAUACUAAAAAGGUUAAAGACAACUAAGAUUUAUUGUUUAUGAAUUAAUGAAUUUUAUGAACACCAGGGCCCUUUACAGAAUCGACUUCAGGAUCUGCGGCUCCACAUCAUGGUUAUCUGAAAAAAAGAAGCAGCAUUUUAUUCAAAAGAAGAGAUGGAAGUGUAAAUAUGAAGAGAGGUCCAGAGGAACAACAUGAAGAGAUGUAGAGGAAGAGUCAAAUACACCUUCAGUGUCUGCAUCUC
ensembl:lncRNA